CCUACGGGUGGCUGCAGUGGGGAAUAUUGGACAAUGGGCGAAAGCCUGAUCCAGCCAUGCCGCGUGUGUGAAGAAGGCCUUCGGGUUGUAAAGCACUUUCAGUGGGGAAGAAAGCCUUGGGGCUAAUACCCUCGAGGAAGGACAUCACCCACAGAAGAAGCACCGGCUAACUCCGUGCCAGCAGCCGCGGUAAUACGGAGGGUGCGAGCGUUAAUCGGAAUUACUGGGCGUAAAGCGCGCGUAGGCGGUCUGAUAAGCCGGUUGUGAAAGCCCCGGGCUCAACCUGGGAACGGCAUCCGGAACUGUCAGGCUAGAGUGCAGGAGAGGAAGGUAGAAUUCCCGGUGUAGCGGUGAAAUGCGUAGAGAUCGGGAGGAAUACCAGUGGCGAAGGCGGCCUUCAGGACUGACACUGACGCUGAGGUGCGAAAGCGUGGGUAGCAAACAGGAUUAGAUACCCGAGUAGU
rnacentral:rRNA from 1 species